UUUCUCUAUAAUAUCCAUUGUCACUUUUAUUUUGUCAGUUUUUUUUAGGAAAUAGUUCGUUUUGGGAGAAUUUGUCAUUUUAUUUUGAAAUCCUACCUUUUUCCGGAAGUGACGUCGAGUCCUCACUCGUUGCUGAGACAUGCGUGAGGAAGGAAGUGUGUCUCUCUGCUCUCGUGUUUUUAAAGUGUUUGGCUGUGAAACGAGAUUAUAAUGUGCUCUUGUCUUGCUGAUAUGCUUAUGAACACUUGUUCUACUCAUAGUUUGAGUGUUUUAGCGAACUUUUCGCUGGUGUACUGUUCGGUGGCGUUUCUCGCUCAUACACACACGGUGGCUGCGGCAUUUCAUUGAAGUUUUCCCUCCAUUUUAGACUGUUUUGCUGCUGAGUCUUGUAUAUUUCAUACAGGUAUGUUUCUGUUGCUCCCAAAACUUUAUUGUAUUUUUCUGUACUGUUAUAUUUAUUUAUUUUUCAAUCAAUCAAUCAAUGUUUACUUAUAUAUUUUUCUAUUGUAUAAAACAUUUCACGGUGGUGUAUUCAUUUUCAGUGUAUUUGUAAAUGUGAUGUAUAGGUUUUGUGAUAAAUGUGAAUGUUUCAUAUAACAUUUAAACUCACUCGUGCGUGAGGAAACUGGUUUGCUGCUGAGUCCUGUGUUAACGCUGCCGCACUGUUUCCUGUAUAUUUCAUCCAUCCAUCCAACCAUCUUCUUCCGCUUAUCCGAGGUCGGGUCGCGGGGGCAACAGCCUAAGCAGGGAAACCCAGACUUCCCUCUCCCCAGCCACUUCGUCUAGCUCUUCCCGGGGGAUCCCGAGGCGUUCCCAGGCCAGCCGGGAGACAUAGUCUUCCCAACGUGUCCUGGGUCUUCCCCGUGGCCUCCUACCGGUUGGACGUGCCCUAAACACCUCCCUAGGGAGGCGUUCGGGUGGCAUCCUGACCAGAUGCCCGAACCACCUCAUCUGGCUCCUCUCCAUGUGGAGGAGCAGCGGCUUUACUUUGAGUCCCUCCCGGAUGGCAGAGCUUCUCACCCUAUCUCUAAGGGAGAGACCUGGAAACUCAUUUGGGCCGCUUGUACCCGUGAUCUUAUCCUUUCGGUCAUGACCCAAAGCUCAUGACCAUAAGUGAGGAUGGGAACGUAGAUCGACCGGUAAAUUGAGAGCUUUGCCUUCCGGCUCAGCUCCUUCUUUACCACAAUGGAUCGAUGAUCGAAGACGCUGCCUGUCGAUCUCACGAUCCACUCUUCCCUCACUCCUAGGUACUUGAACUCCUCCACUUGGGGCAGGGUCUCCUCCCCCAACCCGGAGAUGGCACUCCACCCUUUUCCGGGCGAGAACCAUGGACUCGGACUUGGAGGGGCUGAUUCUCAGGAAAAGAAGAAAGAAUAUUUCAUACAGCAUCGCUACCGACGAUUAUGAAGUUAUACCUGAAAGUCGGAGGGGUGUGGUGACCGCCGGUGUCUCUGAUGGAAGCCGUGGAGAGGCCAAGAAAGUCGCGGCUGCCUCUUUGACAGACAGCUGCAGGAGGACACAAGCUCCGCUCAUGUCUCCGGGGUGGCGGGUUUACUGGAGUCUAUCCCGGCUGCAUUCGGGAGGAAGGCGGGGCACACCCAGGACAAGUCGCCACCUCACAUCCAACAAAAAAAGAAGUCUGGAGCUAAAGAGUUGUUUCUUAACCUGGGUUCGAUCAAACCCUAGGGCAGGGGUCGGGAACCUUUUUGGCUGAGAGAGCCAUGAAAGCCAAAUAUUUCAGAAUGUAUUUCCGUGAGAGCCAUAUCAUAUUUUUUAACACUGAAUACAACUAAAUGCGUGCAUUUUUAAGUAAGACCAACAUUUUUUGAGUAUAAUAACAUUGUUAUUCUGAAGCUAAUCAAUAAUAAAUCAAAUGUCAUGUCUGUUGAUCAUGUUUUUGUUUGGCCAUGUGCUCUUUAAGUUCCUGUUUUUUUCCACUCCCUUGUUUGGUUUCCUUGGUUACUCAUUUUGUCCACCUGUCUCUGCCCGCUCACCUGCUUCCCGAGCACUAAUCAGAGGCAGUAUUUAAGCUUGUCUUUGCCAGUCAGUCGCCCUGGCGUCAAUGUGAUCCUUUCUUGCUCUGUGCUGACUUUUUUCAUGCCUUGCCAUAGUUUCGUGCUUCAUGCCACGCCAAGUAAGUUUUUUUUGAUUUAUGUUCUUAGUCUGUUUAUGCGUCAGCUUUCUUCCUUAUCCCAAGUUAUACCUCCGCUGUGAGCGAUUUUUGUUUGUAUCUAUUUUUAGUUUAAAUUAAAUCAUGUUUUUACCUAAA